rnacentral:lncRNA from 13 species
CACACACACCCAGAUAUAACCAUACAACCCCAUCACACACUACCAUUGCCUUGCCAGCACAGUGUGUACAUCGCGGGUGGAUACAGUAUAGUAAGGGUUUUACUGCACCUAGUGCUUUACAUACAUCAGCUCCAUGUAACAGAAAAUACAACAUUACUACUGCUGCUACUAGUACUAUCCAUUUACCCCCUCCCCUCCCUCUCUCUUCUCCCCUCCUCUUUUUCCCUAUUUUCUUCCUUUCCACCUAUCUCAAUAUCUCUCCUCAUUUCCUCUCUCUCUCUUGCUCUCUCUCUCCCUCCCCCUUUUCCCUCCCUCCCUCUCUCUGUCCGCAUCAGCAUCCUGUGAAAUCCCUCCUCCAUUUCUCGUUUGGUCUGUGUAAGCGCGUGAGUGAGAGUGUGGGUGAGCGUGUGUGUGAGCGUGUGAGUGAGAGUGUGUGCAUGUGUGUGUGCCUCUACUACUCUGACAGGAUAUGAGCGGACGAGUGAGGGAGUGUGAGAGAGGAGGGAAGCCACGGAGAGAAGAGGAAAGAGAGGAGGAAAGGAGAAGAGAGGAGGAGAGGAGAAGAGAAAGGGGGACUGGAUAUGGCCAUGUGCAGGAUGUUUUGACGUUGGGACUGUAGUUGAUCUUUGGCGGUGUGUGAGUGAGGGUGUGAGCCAGAGUUUGUGUAAGUGUGAGUGUGCGUGUGUGUGUGUGAGAUGGGGUCUGCUCUGGGCAGAAGAGAGGAAGCUGAAAGAAAGGAGAGGAAGGCAAGAGAAGCCAGGAAAGCCAAACUCAAUAUCGAGGACUUACAGAGUCUAGCCACCAUGCUGCUACGCACUGAGAGAACCAACAGGAGCCAAGCAACAGAGGUGAGACACCACAUACAUUUACUGAGAGGGUCAUAUGCCAUUUCAGGGGUUAAGAGAGUUUGUGGACAAAGAGAUAGUUCUAGAAUUCAAUGGAUGGUCAGAUUCCAGUAGGCAUAUGCACUUCAGCCAGACAUUCUACUGGGUGUCGGCUGUGAGAGUUCUAGAAUGUAUUCCUUCCGUAAGCUCUGCAGGGUCUUGAUUGUGGACGUUCUAGGUCUAGAAUGCAUUUUGUCCAUAAUAGUUUUGCUUACUCCUUGCAUGUGUUCAGUUUUUUCCUGUCAAGCUGUGAUGGCAGCCAGCUUUACUGGUUUUGCUGUGAAUAAAGUAUCGCUUGUGUGUAAAACUGGGAAGAUUCCUAGAACGCUGAAGGAUACUACCAGUUACAAUACAGCAGAAGCCCUACAAUCAGCGGACUGACAAGUGAAACUUUAAGUAACUGAACUUGUCAAACCAGGAGUUGUUAUUUUAAACCAGGAGUUGUUAUGUUAUACCAGGAAUAGUUGUGUCAAACCAGUAAUUGUUGCGUCAAACCAGUGUUUUUUGUCCAG